CUGAAAGUUGACCUCGGAUCAGGUAGGAAUACCCGCUGAACUUAAGCAUAUCAAUAAGCGGAGGAAAAGAAACCAACAGGGAUUGCCCUAGUAACGGCGAGUGAAGCGGCAACAGCUCAAAUUUGAAAUCUGGCCCCAGGCCCGAGUUGUAAUUUGCAGAGGAUGCUUUUGGCGCGGUGCCUUCCGAGUUCCCUGGAACGGGACGCCACAGAGGGUGAGAGCCCCGUCUGGUCGGACACCAAGCCUUUGUAAAGCUCCUUCGACGAGUCGAGUAGUUUGGGAAUGCUGCUCAAAAUGGGAGGUAUAUGUCUUCUAAAGCUAAAUACCGGCCAGAGACCGAUAGCGCACAAGUAGAGUGAUCGAAAGAUGAAAAGCACUUUGAAAAGAGAGUUAAAUAGCACGUGAAAUUGUUGAAAGGGAAGCGUUCAUGACCAGACUUGGCCCGGUUGAUCAUCCAGCGUUCUCGCUGGUGCACUCUGCCGGUCCAGGCCAGCAUCAGUUCGUCGCGGGGGACAAAGGCUCCGGGAAUGUAGCUCCCUCCGGGGAGUGUUAUAGCCCGCUGCGCAAUACCCUGCGGUGGACUGAGGUCCGCGCUUCGGCAAGGAUGCUGGCGUAAUGGUCAUCAACGACCCGUCUUGAAACACGGACCAAGGAGUCGUCUUCGUAUGCGAGUGUUCGGGUGUCAAACCCCUACGCGUAAUGAAAGUGAACGCAGGUGAGAGCUUCGGCGCAUCAUCGACCGAUCCUGAUGUUCUCGGAUGGAUUUGAGUAAGAGCAUACGGGGCCGGACCCGAAAGAAGGUGAACUAUGCCUGUAUAGGGUGAAGCCAGAGGAAACUCUGGUGGAGGCUCGCAGCGGUUCUGACGUGCAAAUCGAUCGUCAAAUAUGGGCAU
rnacentral:rRNA from 1 species